AUUCAUCUCCGGGGGUAGAGCACUGUUUCGGCAAGGGGGUCAUCCCGACUUACCAACCCGAUGCAAACUACGAAUACCGGAGAAUGUUAUCACGGGAGACACACGGCGGGGGCUAACGUCCGUCGUGAAGAGGGAAACAACCCAGACCGCCAGCUAAGGUCCCAAAGUCAUGGUUAAGUGGGAAACGAUGUGGGAAGGCCCAGACAGCCAGGAUGUUGGCUUAGAAGCAGCCAUCAUUUAAAGAAAGCGUAAUAGCUCACUGGUCGAGUCGGCCUGCGCGGAAGAUGUAACGGGGCUAAACCAUGCACCGAAGCUGCGGCAGCGACGCUGAUGCGUUGUUGGGUAGGGGAGCGUUCUGUAAGCCUGCGAAGGUGUGCUGUGAGGCAUGCUGGAGGUAUCAGAAGUGCGAAUGCUGACAUAAGUAACGAUAAAGCGGGUGAAAAGCCCGCUCGCCGGAAGACCAAGGGUUCCUGUCCAACGUUAAUCGGGGCA
rnacentral:rRNA from 1 species